GACGAACGCUGGCGGCGUGCUUAACACAUGCAAGUCGAACGGUGAAGCGCCUUCCUUUUUGGUGGGUGUGGAUGAGUGGCGAACGGGUGAGUAACACGCGAGUAACCUGCCCCCUUCUUCUGGAUAACCGCAUGAAAGUGUGGCUAAUACGGGAUAUUCUGGGUCUGUCGCAUGAUGGGUCUGGGAAAGAUAUUGUUUCGGUGGGGGAUGGGCUCGCGGCCUAUCAGCUUGUUGGUGGGGUGAUGGCCUACCAAGGCGGUGACGGGUAGCCGGCCUGAGAGGGUGGACGGUCACACUGGGACUGAGACACGGCCCAGACUCCUACGGGAGGCAGCAGUGGGGAAUAUGGCACAAUGGGCGCAAGCCUGAUGCAGCGACGCCGCGUGAGGGAUGGAGGCCUUCGGGUUGUGAACCUCUUUCGCCAGUGAAGCAGGCCUGCCUCGUUUGUGGGUGGGUUGACGGUAGCUGGAGAAGAAGCGCCGGCUAACUACGUG
rnacentral:rRNA from 1 species